rnacentral:rRNA from 1 species
UACGUAGGGGGCAAGCGUUGUUCGGAAUUACUGGGCGUAAAGGGCGCGUAGGCGGCACGACAAGUCGGGAGUGAAAGCCCGGGGCUCAACCCCGGAACGUCUCUCGAAACUGUCGAGCUAGAGUGCAGAAGAGGCAACUGGAAUUCCCAGUGUAGCGGUGAAAUGCGUAGAUAUUGGGAAGAACACCUGAGGCGAAGGCGGGUUGCUGGGCUGACACUGACGCUGAGGCGCGAAAGCCAGGGGAGCGAACGGG